rfam:Burkholderia sp. STM 7296 strain STM7296 genome assembly, contig: BN2475_Contig_018
CUGCUAACGCGGGGGUCCUGCGUCGCACGGGGGUUGGAGGUCCGUGCCACGCGGGUGAGAAAUACCCUUUGAACCUGAUCUGGAUAAUGCCAGCGCAGGGAAGCGUGCGGAUUUCGCAC